GACGAACGCUGGCGGCGUGCUUAACACAUGCAAGUCGAACGGUAAGGCCCUUCGGGGUACACGAGUGGCGAGCGGGUGAGUAACACGUGGGUGAUCUGCCCUGCACUUCGGGAUAAGCCUGGGAAACUGGGUCUAAUACCGGAUAGGACUCCGGACUGCAUGGUCUGGGGUGGAAAGCUUUUGCGGUGUGGGAUGGGCCCGCGGCCUAUCAGCUUGUUGGUGGGGUGAUGGCCUACCAAGGCGACGACGGGUAGCCGGCCUGAGAGGGUGACCGGCCACACUGGGACUGAGAUACGGCCCAGACUGCUACGGGAGGCAGCAGUGGGGAAUAUUGCACAAUGGGCGCAAGCCUGAUGCAGCGACGCCGCGUGAGGGAUGACGGCCUUCGGGUUGUAAACCUCUUUCAGCAUCGACGAAGCGAAAGUGACGGUAGGUGCAGAAGAAGGACCGGCCAACUACGUGCCAGCAGCCGCAGUAA
rnacentral:rRNA from 1 species